UGAUGGUGAUGAGGACAACUUCUGAGAAUGACCUUAAAUCUCUCCCAAACUUGGUAGAGAUUUUCUCCAUCUUUCUAUCUGAAACCCAAUAUCUCACUCCUUAAUUG